AGAGUUUGAUCAUGGCUCAGAUUGAACGCUGGCGGCAUGCCUUACACAUGCAAGUCGAACGGCAGCGCGGGGCAACCUGGCGGCGAGUGGCGAACGGGUGAGUAAUAUAUCGGAACGUGCCCUGGAGUGGGGGAUAACGUAGCGAAAGUUACGCUAAUACCACAUACGAUCCAAGGAUGAAAGCAAUACCGUGGGUAUUGCGCUCCUGGAUGGGCUCAUGUCCUAUCAGCUUGUUGGUGAGGUAACGGCUCACCAAGGCUUCGACGGGUAGCUGGUCUGAGAGGACGAUCAGCCACACUGGCACUGCGACACGGGCCAGACUCCUACGGGAGGCAGCAGUAAGGAAUAUUGCGCAAUGGACGAAAGUCUGACGCAGCGACGCCGCGUGGGGGAUGAAGGUCUUCGGAUUGUAAACCCCUUUCGGGAGGGAAGAUGGAGUGGGUAACCACUUGGACGGUACCUCCAGAAGCAGCCACGGCUAACUUCGUG
rnacentral:rRNA from 1 species